AAACAUUAAAAGGUAAGAAUGUAAAAGGAAACGUAUUCGGUUACCCCUUCACAAAUUAAAUUUGGGAUUGAAAUCCCUUAUUCAUCUCUUUUCUUUUCUCUCACGGCCAAAAGGGGUAGGAUAGAAAUCCUAAACUCCCUAGCCACCCUCUUCUUCUCUUCUUCGCCUUGUUCUAGAGACGGGUUUGCGAUUCGGGUCGCGAUGGUUCUUCGACGAGGAGGUGGUUCGUGGUUGGGUCACCUCUUCUCCCCUUCGACGGCAGCAACGGUGGUGAGGUGCAGUGGUUCGAUUGAUGAAAGUGGAAUCACGGUGAAGAACGCCGAUUACCACGAUGGUUUGAAGAAAAGGUAAUCAUUUUCCUUAUUUCUCAUGAACCCUCACCAUCUCCCUCAUAGAGACUUAUUAGGGUUCUAGAUUAGUAGUGAUAAGGGAGUAAUCCCUUUUCUAUUGAAAUUUUGUCUAAUCUUAUUGCCGGUACUAAUUGGUGGUGACGUGUAAUAUGUAAACUAAAACAUAUUUCAAUCAUGUGUUUUUUUUAUUUACGUUCUAAUCCAGUAUAUGUGUUUCUAUGGAAUGAUCGGUGUUAUGUAUGUAAAAAUAUUUGGGUCAAAAGCUAAACUGGACGUAAAUCAUAUUAUCUUGCUUUAAGGUUACGGCAAUGCACCGUUUGUUUUCAUCUAUUUCGUUUUUACUUAAGUAGGUAGAUGUUCCAUUGAAACCACUGUGUAUGAUCAAUUAAAAAACAUUUAUGAAUUAAGCAUAUAAAGCAUAUAGAGCAGGGUAUGUUUAUGGGAUAUGCGUGUAUGCGUUGAUGCUCAGGGCACAUAUAAAACAUUGUUUUUUGUAGUUUGAAUGCUUACCUGAGUGUAUGCUCUCUUCCUUUGUCCUUCUGAAUGUUGGUUCUCUGUUUAUAGAGGCUAUGCCUCUAUGUAUGUGGUGAUAUGUGUGUAUUUGUGUAUGCUCUGAAUGUUCUCUUUUUAUCACUAUGUGGUCUUUGUGUAUAUGCUCAAUUUUUCUGUUGCAAUGUAUGUGUUUCUUGUGCACACACUGUGAUGUUGUAUAUGUUUCUCUCUGGUUGUUGUAUUCUCUGUUUUGGUAUUGUAGUCUCCGUUUUUGUUUCUCUCUGAUUUUCUUAUUGUUGUGUAUGUGUAAUCUGCAUCCUUUUUAUACUGUUUGUAGGCAGACCCUUAGGCUGUCAAUUUUGAUUCAGUAACUGACAAGGAUUAUGCUCUAUGAUUGCCCUUUAUUGCUGCAAUUAAGUUGAUUUUGUAAUUGGCAAGAAUCUUUAGAUCAUCAUUAUGAUUAUUUUAUUAAUUUUUUCAUAUAUAUCAAUAUUACUAUAUUAAUCACUUUUAAUUCUGAAAUUUAUUUGUCCAUCAUCUUCUCAAUCAAUUUUAUAUUUUGAUUGUAGUUUCCUCUGAAUAUCAAUGUUGGUUAACCAAUAUUGUUGCAUUGUUACUAGUGUGAAUAUGAUUGCAACGAUUCUAUUGUUGGUCUAUUAAUAAUUUAAUAAUAUAUUUAUAUAAAUAUAGAUUUUACUAAUUAAUAAAGUUUAAGAGGUGAUUAAGAAGAAAAAAUAGUUUAGAGUGACUACUAGAAAAAGGACAUAGACACUAUUCGGGAAAACUAGCUUGUAAAUGUGAGCUCGUAGCUUGUAGUUGUGAGCUUGUAGUUUGUAGCUGUGAAGGUAGCUCGAAGCUUAUAGUUGUAAAAGUAGCUAAUUAAACUUGAGUUGUUCGGUAAAACAAGUUUUGUAUCUAGCUGGAAUUUAAAAAAUAACUAAAAAGGACAUACAUUAUUUAUUUAUUAUUUAUUUUGUUAUUUAUUAAUGGGAAAAGUGUAUAAAAACUUCAUAAAUUUUAUGUUUUCUUUUUUGAAAACUACCACUAUAAACUUUCUAUUCUCCUUAAUUGGUCCUCAAACUCUAACAAGAGAAAAACUUGCCUAGAGACUAAUAUAACACAUCACUUUUAAAGACAACUAAUAGAAUAAUGACAACUCAUAAAAAUUAAAUUAAUUAAAUUUUAAUAUGAAAAAGAUAAAUAAAAUAAGUAUUAAUUUUUAAUCCCAUAAUCUUUCUCCUCACUUAUCUCUUCCUUAUCUGCAGUUACGUUUCAUCUCCUCUUUUCUCUUUCUAUCCUCAUUUCAAAUUAAAAUCUUUCUUCUUCUUCGUAUAUUUCUUCUUUCUUGUUCCUUUCCUUUUGCAUUUCUUCCUUUUCUCACUUGUAACUUGGCUUCUGAAAUGUGCAAGAUGUGUUUGGUUUUAUCCUUUUACUUUGUUAUGGUAUAAGAAAACUAAAGUCACUUGACUUUUCAAAUGUGCACAAUCUAUUAAGUACUUGAAUUCUUCCAGUUCCACACUAAAUUUUGUACAUACAUGCUAUAUUUUGUACCUACAUAACCUUUUUCCCAACCCAAGUGAAAUACAAACUUUACAGCAGGACACCACGUGAUGAGCAUUACAAGAUGAAAUAUAUAGAAACUGGUCCACCACGUUAUUAUUAUCAUUCAUCACACACACCACUACUCUUUAAUAUUUAACAGUAAUAUAUAUUAUGGAGAUAAGAAAGAACAACUGAUUGAAGAAAAAAAGCUAAUGUGAAGUUCCUAUUGUAUACUAGUUAAUACUAUAUAUCAGUUCCCAAGUACUCAAUGUCAAAUUCUUAUAAACAAAGAUUAAGAUUAUUCUCUCUCACAUAAGUGAUAGAUUAUUCUCCAUCAUCUAUUUAUCAAUCUGCAUUAGGCUUUAUUGUUAAAUAGACCAAAUUUUUAUUGCUUGAACAUUCAACAUUAGAUUAAAAUACCAUACAAUUAUUCUCAUUACUAAUUUAGGAAGCAAAAGUCAAUCUUGAUACAGAAAACAUAUCUCUAGUCUGCAUUUUUUUCAAACAUACUCAUUCUGGCAUUCUCAUUACAAAACUUAAAAUUGCAUUGACAAAUAUACUAUAUAAGAAGAUGACAAUAAAUACAUAAGUUCAUUUCAUAAUUGUUCAAUAAUGCACUCUAGUAUUAACAUGGUUUCUACUCCCACUCUCAUGUUGACUUGUCUUUUGCCUCAGAGCAUGGGGUCUAAUGCACUCCCACUCCCAUCUUCACUUGUCUUUUGCCUCAUAGCAUGUGGUCUAAUCGGUGUUGGUCCAAUAUUUUGCAUUCCAAAUGCUGGUUGUAGAAUCUGUGGACCGCAAAAUGGCAUGAUAGGUGGAGCCAUUUGAGGCAUGAUAGGUGGAGUCAUUUGAGGCAUGAUAGACCUAUAUAGUGACAUUGUACUUGGUUGCAUAUUAGAACCAUUGAUAUAGUAAUUGGUAUCACAAAACUCACUUCUUUCUUUUUGUUUCUCUGUAAACAAAAAUAAACAUUAGACAUUAUAUAACAUUUCCAGGUAAAAAAGUUAUUAUGCAACUUCAUUAGAAUACAAGUGAGGUAAAACAUAUUUUAUAAAUUCUCACCUUUAUUUUUCUUCACUAUUGUGGUAGAUCGUUUCCUUUUCUCGAAAUGUCCUUUCUUUCGAGCAGCAGACAUUUCCUUAGUCUUUGCAAGAAGAUAAUUUAGAACUACAUGUCCAUUAUUCACAUUUUGAGUGGAACUGAUGUCAUUUGUUAUUGCAUAUGGGUUUAAAUUGAGCUUAGCAAGACAUUCUUGCACACGCUCAACUCCAACAUCAAGUAAAUUGCACAUAAUUUGUUGAGUUUCUUUGUGUUCUUGACUUUCCAAAACCAAAUUAUAAAAUGAUUUCAUAACAACAUUGCGGUAAAGAAUGCUAACAUCAUAAUCUUUCUCCACACCCCCAUUCAUAUGCUCAUAAAUGGUGGACCUGUCAUUUUUUGACCAUCUUUUCAAGAAGUAAUGGUCAGGUAUUCUCAAAAUACCUUUAAAUAUUAUAAAUCCUCAAAGCAUGACUACAAAGAAUUCCCAUAAAUUCAAACUUGUGACAACUACAAUUAACCAUGUAAGUAGAAGAGUCAAAUGUCACAAUAUACUUCUUGUUAGGCAUUUGAUUGAAUAUGACAAGUUAUCACAUACUUUAAUCUCUACAGAAGUGCUCCCCCCUGUCCCAUCAAGAUAUUUCUUCAAAAAAAGUUUAAAGAUUUUGUGAGUAUAUAUUUUAGAUGUAUGUCGUAAAGUGUCGCUGCUAUUUAUAAUUAGAGGGGGAGCACUUUAGCUACACUUGAAGUCCUUCUCAACCUCUAUUUGUCGCCAUUUUUUUUUUACCAUUUUGUCAAAUGUGUUAAAGAAUUGUGUAAGACUAGUUGUUUUACCUGCAAUCUCAGAUAAGACACUAUUUGUACUCUCACUCCGUUGAGAUGACUUAAUACCAGCUGAAAAUAUUUCCUUGCUAUAAGCAGUGCUCCACUUGUGACGAAUUUUAUACAUAUCCUCCAACCAUUUAUGACCAUUGUGUUUACUCAUCAUCUCCUUCCAAGUACUUUCAAAUUCUUCUUCUGAAUCACAACCCGACAUGGACUUUUGCAACAAACUUUGGAAUUUAUGAUCUGAAUUAAGAGCACCCAAAUGAGAAGGGGCAUUUUUAGCUAUAUGCCAUAAACACAGCCGAUGAGAUGUAUUUGGCAUUACCUCUCUAAUUGCUUUGGCCAUGGAUGCAUCUUGAUGUGUGAAGAUUGUUUUUGGUUGUUGGUUUCCCAUGCUUUGCAAAAAUACUUUAAACAACCACCUAAAAGAAACUGAUGUUUCAUCAGCUAGUAAGGCACAACCAAACAUCACAUUUUGCAAAUGAUGAUUUACACCAACAAAGGGUGCACAAAUCAAAUUAAAUCUAUUAGUACGAUAAGUGGUAUCAAAAACCAUAACAUCCCAAAAACAAUCAUAAUCAAGUUUUGAUUUACCAUCUCUCUAGAAGACAUUAGUUAAACGAGACUCUUGGUCAAAUUGGACUGAGUAGAAGAACAUUGGAUCUUCUGAUUGUCUUUUUUGUAACUAAUUCACUAAAGAUUGAGCAUCACCGGCUUCAAUGGAUUUCACCUUUUGAGUGUAGACAAAAUUUUGCAUAUCUUUCAUUGUUGAACCAACCUUAUCAAAUCCACCGACCUCUUCCCCAAUAUAGCUCCAUGCAUUUGUAACACUCAUACCAGCAUUUACUAGUGACUUUAUCACAUCUCCUUUAGUAGCGGAUAUAUUUCUCAUAGAACGUAACAGAUGUCUCUGAUGGGGUUGGGCAAACUCAUGGUUGUGAUCCAAUACUAGUUUUGUAAUUUUCAAUUGUCCUUCCUUGCUGACAUUAAAUCGCACCAUAACUUGGCAUCUUGUUCUUGAAUCUGCUAUCUCAUAAGCCACUUCACCUUGAAGUUCAUUG
rnacentral:lncRNA from 1 species